UUAUCCUAAGGGAAUGAAAUGCAGGAACAGAAAACCAAAUGCCUCAUGUUCUCACUUAUAAGUGGGAGCUAAACAGUGGGUGUUCAUGGACCUAAAAAUGGCAGCAAUAGAAACUGGGGACUCCAAAGGGAGAGAGGAAGGGAGGGGGACAACGGUUGAAAAACUAACUGUUGGAUGCUAUGCCCACUAUCUGGGUGACAGGAUCAUUCCUAUCCUAAAUCUCAGUGUCAUGCAAUAUAUCUGUGUAGCAAACCUGAAUGUGUACCCCCUGCAUCUAAAAUAGAAGUUGAAAUUAUUUUUUAAAAUGCAGAUUUUUGGCCCUGUCCCAGGGAAUCUGGUUUGGUAGGCCUAGGAACCUGCAUUCUAAUGAGCACCUCCAAGUGAACUCCAGGUUGGGGAACCCUGCUGACGGUCAGGUAAGCAAAAUUCCUCCAUGUGAAACUGUCCCAGAGGGCACGGUAGCUCUCCUGUGCUUUUUUUUUUUAAAUCUCAUUUACGAAUAUAGAUAUACAUUAUUCUAAAUAAAAUAUAAAAAUAGAACCAACCCAAAUGUCCAUCAAUGAUAGAUUGGAUUAAGAAAAUGUGGCACAUAUAUACCAUGGAAUACUGUGCAGCGAUAAAAAAGGUUGAGUUCAUGUCCUUUGUAGGGACAUGGAUGAAGCUGGAAGCCAUUAUUCUGAGCAAACUAUCGCAAGUACAGAAAACCAAACACCGCAUGUUCUCGCUCCUGUGCUUUUGAUACAAAGUGCCAAUAUUUCAAUUUUUCUCAAAACAGGGCCUGUCCUGAUAAAUGUUCUACCUAGAGAAUGUUCUUUUAAGGGCUAAAGGGAAUGCAGAAGCCUAAAUACAAAGCAAGUGCCCCUGCCACUCAUAACUGCCACAUCCCCAUAGAAACAUUCACUUUCAUUAGCUGGAGAGGAGUUUCUCUUACUUCAUUCCUUGAACCACUGUUUAUGGAGCACUUCCAAUUACCAGACACAGGUGACAAAAAGGUAAAUGAGACUGGACCCCAUGCCUGCCUCCUGGAGCCCACAUUCCAUGGAGUGGGAUCGUUAUCUUGAAACGCUGAUUGCUUUGCUUUCUUUUUCUGCACUUCUUAUCUGUCUUUUCAACUGAGGCAUCCAUUUUCUUGCAGAAAAAGGAACACUCAACAUUUAAUUUGACUCACAGUUCAUGGUCUUGAAUGCAUGGCUUCGGAUGGCAAGGCAAUGCGUUCCGUGCCUAAGCAAAGCACCUAGCUCUCAGGAACUGAGACCACUAGCUGAGUGCUCUGUGACUGUUGGGACUUGAGACCCUUCUUAUCUCCCCCAAGACUCAGUGGGAUGGGGCUGCUGUUCCGGAGCUGACUCCAACAUGCCAGCCUUUUGGAAAUUUGCCUGGAGGCUGAACUGAAGUAAAUGUAUGUGGGAAAGAGAAUUCUAGAGCAGGAGUAAGGAACCCUGGAUUUGCUAAGACGUCUGGAUCUACAGCAGGCCUGAGGAACCCUCGAUGUACCCAGGACUAAAGGUCCCUGGAUGUGCAUUUGAAUUAAGGAAACUUGUCUUUGCACGGUUCUCGUGGUUUACAUGGCCUCUUUUGAACACUCCAUUUCUUCUUGUGUAAAUGGCACAGCAUGCCCAUCCUGCCCAACUCACUGGGUUACUUGGCACAAGAGAACCAUAAAAGUGCUUCGAAAAAUAUGAGGCCUAAUGCAAUAGAGGAUGGGAUUGGGAGCCACAUGGCUGAAUGGGACUGGCAUGGGCUUGGGGCACGGGUGGGGUGACCUGGCCCUCUGGUUUCCCUGGGACAGUCAUCAUUCAUACUAGUGACCAUUCAGCUCUCAAAACUGAAAAGGAUGUGGCUAACUUACUUCUAAGCCCCAGUCCUUGGAAUCUUGGUCCAAUCUCUCUACAUCUUGGUUUCCUACUCUGAAAUACGCAGGUCACAUCCAUGCCUUUAAAGACAGAUUGUGAAAGUCAAAAGAAAUUCCAAUUGAGAGCUCUUUAUAAACUGGAAAUAAAAAUCACACAGUGGGUGUCAUUGUUAUCAUUAAGUCUAGGUGGUGUGAAACCAGGAAGCAGUAUUUUGUGUGCCCUCUGGAAUCUGGUUCUUUACCAAGGGCUGUCCCUUCCCUCUUUUGGACUCCUCCUUCCUCUGGCCCAAGAGACCACUUGCUUUCUUUCCCUGAGCCCCAGUUAGCUUUUCUGAAAAACAGAAGAAUUGGAGUCUGAAUUUCCAAGAUGCCUCCCAGUGGUAACAUUCUAUGGUUUCAUGAUUCUAAACAACGUUUGGCCUCCUGGUAUUGGUUGGUUGUUUUCUUAAGAACAAAGAAAGCCAGACAACCUAAACAUGAAAUACAACCCCAGCAAUGAAUUACAUGGGCUUUGAAAAAGGCAUUCAGCGAGAAUGAUUAUGUCUAAUAUUGGGCCUUCUGGCCUUGCCAGGGCCUGGGACCUGGCAUCAGAUGUCUGAACUUGAUAUACACCUGCAGGUACACUUACGGCUGUUAAUCUGCCAAGCUCUGUUGUUCAAGCUGUUUGAAAGCAUUCAAUAAAUUUCUUUUAGAAGCCAUGUGUUAUAUGAUUCUUUGUUUUCCCAAACAAUAUUACUGAUGUUUCAUUUUAACUUACUUCAGCUCCUUGGCCUUGUGCAGAGGGUUUUUUGUUUGGAUUUGCUUUGCUUUUGUAGAGUUUCCAUGCAAUCUCUGGUGAUGUCUCCCAGCAGCUACAUUAAUGUUGUAUUAUAUAUUUGGGGGAACACCUUGGGUUUCUUCUUCGCAUUGAAUAAUGCGAUUAUUGAAGGGACGUCUAGCUAGAAGAUUUACAGAUUGGGGGAACAUCUUGGGUUUCUUCUUCGCAUUGAAUAAUGCGAUUAUUGAAGGGACGUCUAGCUAGAAGAUUUACAGAUGGGAUAUGAGGGUGCAGGCUUCUCAGAACUUUCGCUCUAGGAAAGAAAUAAUAGAAAUGAGAAAAAGAGAGAGAGAGAGAAAGAGAGAGAGAGAGGAAGAUUGACUCUUUAGCUGUUUAAUCCCAGGUUAAUCAACUUUGGGCAGCAGGGCCAGUCCAGGCUUGCACCCAGGUGAGAGUGGGCUGAUGACCCAGGCAGGUGGUCCCACUCCUGGCCAUUCCUGAGCCCAGUCUCUGUCCUCCAGAGAGGACCAGUCACCCGGGGUUCCCGGAAGACCCACACAGGAGGCUGGCCAGGAAUCCAGUGGUCAGAUUGUCUUUGUUUUCCAUCUGCAUGGCUGCCUAGCUCAUGGCUGACUGAUUGUGGCUGCAAAUCCCUACGAGUUCUCCCCAUUUGAGGUAGAUUAAGUCAUUGUUGAGUCUCCUUAGCAAAAUACAACGGAACAGACAGACCUGCCAGGGCCUCCUUUCUCCAUACGACUUCUGCCUCGAUUGGUAUUUCUUUGACACUCUAUCCCAUGGCCAGUGUUGACUCUUAUAUCACAAAUGGAGCCCACACAUCGGGUCCUCUCUGAAUGUUACAUGAGUUCAUUCAUUUGUGCUUUCGUGCAUCUGUUUG
rnacentral:lncRNA from 10 species